UCACUAACGCUUGCCUGGGGAAUCCCUCUGCCUUCUCUCCAGGUAACGACCAGACUCCAGUCCUGUACCUCAACGCUUCCAGUGCCAAGGAGGGGGAAAUAAUUCUCUUUCAGUGUGCCAUUGAUUGGCAGUUUCCUGCUACACGAGUUGUCUUCUGCAAGAAUGGGCAGGAGGAGUUCAGUCUGAAAGCCCAGCAGGGCAAGGUCACCUAUACUCUGGUCCUGAACAUCACCUCCAGAAAUGCUGGGACGUACAAGUGUGGGUACCAGCAGAGGAACGAGGGCAACUGGGUGAGGAACUCUGCUCUCAGUGCUCCCCAGACCCUGUCUGUACCAGGUGAGACACGGCCCCAGUGUGGUGGUGGCAGAAGGGACACGGGCUGUGCUGAGGCUGGAGCUGUGUGCUGCAGCAGGCAGGGCAUGGCUCUGGGGUGGUUCCCCCUUGGGAGUGUUCCCUCUCCUCCGAGGGAGCCCCUUGAGAGAAAGCUGCUCUCAAGGGCUGUCCCCCUCCCUGCAUCAGCACCUACACAAUAGAUAGACUUUGUGAAGCAGAUGAGGGCAUGUGCCCUGAAAUGUUUAGGAUACUCAGCAAUAGUGUGUUUUUUCGGCACUUUUAUGCCUUCCCUGGGGAUGGUGCUGGCUGUCGGUGGAUGGAUGUGCCCAUGGGGCUGUGUGUCCCCUGCCCCACACACACGUGCUCAGGGAUGUUGCAGGACACGAGAUAAAUAUGUGCCUAGUCUGGGCAGUACGGGGCAAGCUGCAGACACUCAUCCUGUUCCUUUCUCCUGCCAGGCAGUGAGUCCAGCUCCUCAGCAAGGCCGUUGCCCCCAGGCAGUGUGUCCAACUCCCCAGCAGGGCCAUCACACCCGGGCACAGCGCUGGCAGUGGCAGCCGUCGGCCUCGUCCUCCUGGCUGCAGGCAGCUGGUUUGCCAUCAGGAAAGGUGCCUGCAGAGCGAGAUGCCCAAGGCAGCAGCACGUUGACAGCCCACAAGAAGAAGACACCAACAACGACAAUAUUCAGUACUCCACCAUCGCCCACGUUCGACGGGACAGGCAGGAUCACAAUCCAGAUCAGAGGAGGAAGAAAUACCUUGCAAAGCAUCUCACCCUUCUGUCGGUACGAACAUUUCCCAAAGCUGCGAAACCAGAGAAUGCAGGUGGGCUGGGACGACAAGCUCAGGCCAAGUGUAAUUAAAGCUGGACACAAAAAAUAGAAAAUCCACAGGGGAGUUUUUCAGAUGGCAGCUGUGAGAAAAAUGAGAUUUGCGCUUGGGGAUUUCCUGUGUAAUGAAGGGGGCUGCUGCAUGCAGGGUUGUUUCAGGGAAAAAAAAAAAAAAAGAAAAAAGAAAAAAAAAAAAAGGAGAAAAAAGUCCCUGCUGUGGGACUACAACGAGGUCCAGGCUCACAGAGCACCCACAGCAGGAUGCUGGGGAGGUCAGGAUGGGACUUCUGACCACCCAAAGUGUCCCACAGCAUCUUGUCCUGAGGACGGACAAGCUAUGUUAUCUUUUGGUGGUUGGAUUUCAAAAAAAUAAAAAUAACUCUUUAUGUGGCA
rnacentral:lncRNA from 1 species